UACGUAGGGUGCAAGCGUUGUCCGGAAUUAUUGGGCGUAAAGAGCUCGUAGGCGGUCUGUUGCGUCGGCUGUGAAAACCCGAGGCUCAACCUCGGGCCUGCAGCCGAUACGGGCAGACUAGAGUUCGGCAGGGGAGACUGGAAUUCCUGGUGUAGCGGUGAAAUGCGCAGAUAUCUGGAGGAACACCGGUGGCGAAGGCGGCAUCCUGGACCGGCAUUGACGCUGAGGCGCGAAAGCCAGGGGAGCAAACGGG
rnacentral:rRNA from 1 species